rnacentral:ncRNA from 2 species
GAACAAACCACAAGUAAAGGUGUCCCUUAGGACUUAAUAGGGAAUCUGGUGUAAAUCCAGAACUGCCCCCGCAACUGUAUGUGCGGACGAAAUGGAAGCUCCACUGUAUACGAAAGCUUAUACGGCGCGUAUACGGGAAGGAUCCAAAGUAGGAAGAAGCACAAGUCAGGAGACCUGCCUUGCUUGUUUCGUUUCA